AGUACCUGUGAAGAUGCAGGUUACCCGCGACAGGACGGAAAGACCCCAUGGAGCUUUACUGCAGUUUGAUAUUGAGUGUCUGUACCACAUGUACAGGAUAGGUAGGAGCCUAUGAGAUCGGGACGCCAGUUUCGAUGGAGGCGUUGUUGGGAUACUACCCUUGUGUUAUGGCCACUCUAACCCGGAUAGGUGAUCCCUAUCGGAGACAGUGUCUGACGGGCAGUUUGACUGGGGCGGUCGCCUCCUAAAAGGUAACGGAGGCGCCCAAAGGUUCCCUCAGAAUGGUUGGAAAUCAUUCGCAGAGUGUAAAGGUAUAAGGGAGCUUGACUGCGAGAGCUACAACUCGAGCAGGGACGAAAGUCGGGCUUAGUGAUCCGGUGGUUCCGCAUGGAAGGGCCAUCGCUCAACGGAUAAAAGGUACUCUGGGGAUAACAGGCUGAUACCGCCCAAGAGUUCAUAUCGACGGCGGUGUUUGGCACCUCGAUGUCGGCUCAUCUCAUCCUGGGGCUGAAGCAGGUCCCAAGGGUAUGGCUGUUCGCCAUUUAAAGAGGUACGCGAGCUGGGUUUAGAACGUCGUGAGACAGUUCGGUCCCUAUCUGCCGUGGACGUUUGAGAUUUGAGAGGGGCUGCUCCUAGUACGAGAGGACCGGAGUGGACGAACCUCUGGUGUUCCGGUUGUCACGCCAGUGGCAUUGCCGGGUAGCUAUGUUCGGAAGAGAUAACCGCUGAAAGCAUCUAAGCGGGAAACUUGCCUUGAGAUGAGAUUUCCCGGAGCCUUGAGCUCCUUGAAGGGUCGUUCGAGACCAGGACGUUGAUAGGCUGGGUGUGGAA
rnacentral:rRNA from 14 species